rnacentral:lncRNA from 1 species
GACUUAGAUGCUUAAUGCUCCGUCCAAGGUGUUCAGAGUAGGGAGUGACUACUUCUGCCUGUGGUAGAAUCAGCCCACACAAAACAAAAGGCAUUUAGGCUGGAUCUCAGAGGAUGAAGAGGACUUUGUUAGAUAGAUGAGGAGAUUAAAUGCUCUCCUAGUGGAGGCACAACAUGAACAAAGACUGAGAGGUGAGAUGUGUCUGCAGGGGGUCCUGAGAGUCUGUGAAAUUCCUGUGACUGUGGAGGACAAAGAGAGAAGGGAAGAAGGGAAGGAUGGGGAAAGAAAACUGAGGAGAUCCUUGGGGAAUCACUACACUGUCUUCUACAAUGGUUGAACUAAUUUACGUUUGGAACUGGUGGCUUUAUAAGUGGAGGAAGAAGAGAAACCUGAACUAGCACACUCAGCCUGCCUGCCAUGUGAUGCCCUGUGCUGCCUCAGGACUCUGCAGAGUGCCCCCACCAGCAAGAAGGCCCUCACCAAAUGUGGCUCCCUCAGCCUUGGAUUUCUCAGCCUCCAUAAAUGGAAGAAAUAAAUUAAUAUUUUAAAAUAAACUUUCCAGUUCUAGGGAAGCAACAGAAAAUGGACUAAGACACUGUGUUUGUCCCCUCAUGUCUUUCUCUUGGCACAGUGCUUUGUGUAUCAUAGGUUAUAAAUGACCAUUGUUUGUUAAAUGGAGAAAAAUCACGCACUGAGCCCAAGUCAGAAUAAAAAAAUUACCUCGAGUCCAUUUAUGGCUUAGCAAAUUUGGUGAAAGUGACUAAAUAUUUUCUUCAUUAUGGUAGAGUAAAUCAACAGAGCAAUUUUGUCCUUUAAACUACAUCGCUGAGACAAAAUGGACUUUUUUGGCUACAUUUUCAGUCAAGAUGUCCAGAAUCAAAUGAAAUGGAAGAAAAUGGUUCCUUAGCAUUCCUGGGAAAUGAUCUCCUUCUCUCUCAAGGCUCAACUCACAUAUUUCCUUUUCCCUGGGGGUCGUUGUUGGCUUUUCAGUCCCAUGUUUGUCUCUUUAUUUAGUUCUUCUGAUAAUGAUCAUCUCCACUGCAUAAUCCAUUCCUGAUUUCCCCACUCUGGACUCCAUCAAGAUUUUGAGUUGAAAUAUGUUCAUCUAUGGAAGCAAACGCUGUGUCCUAUGGUCCUUAGUGCUCUGCCUCCUUGGCCAAGCAACAAAGGAUUUGCAUCUCCAAGGACUGUUUUUUUUCCAAGACUUAGCUAAAAAAAAAUUAUUCAAAGAAAAUAAGUCCUUUUGAAGCAUGUGUCAUUUGUCAUUUUGACCCACGUGAGUCUUCUUUAGAAGUGUUACAGGAAGGGAAAGAUUGCUAUCAAAAACAAAAAGGAAAA